UGGGGAAUAUUGCACAAUGGAGGGAACUCUGAUGCAGCGACGCCGCGUGAACGAAGAAGGCUUUCGAGUCGUAAAGUUCUUUUAUAUGGGAAGAUAAUGACGGUACCAUAAGAAAAAGCCCCGGCUAACUACGUGCCAGCAGCCGCGGUAAUACGUAGGGGGCUAGCGUUGUCCGGAAUCACUGGGCGUAAAGGGUUCGCAGGCGGAAAUGCAAGUCAGGUGUAAAAGGCAGUAGCUUAACUACUGUACGCAUUUGAAACUGCAUAUCUUGAGAAGAGUAGAGGUAAGUGGAAUUUUUAGUGUAGCGGUGAAAUGCGUAGAUAUUAAAAAGAAUACCGGUGGCGAAGGCGACUUACUGGGCUCAUUCUGACGCUGAGGAACGAAAGCGUGGGUAGCAAACAGG
rnacentral:rRNA from 1 species